rnacentral:tRNA from 1 species
CGGGUCAUAAGUUAAGCUAAACUGUCAGUCUUCAAAACUGAAAAUACCUCGAUGUUGACCUGA